GUGCUGCAGUAUCACCAUCCCCCUCUUUUUCAUUUCCUUCCAUCUGCUGACUAAGCAGCAACUGCUUAUUCUUCUCAAGUGCAUUUGCAACUUCAGGUGGCAUAUACUUCUCGUCGUGUUUCGCCAACACUUCCGUAGCUGCAAAAUAACAAUCCCCGCCCCUCGCCUUUUUCGUCACCUCUAACUUCUUCUCACUCAAAAUCCCACUUUCUUUCUUCUUCAUCUCCUCCGUAAACGGCUUUACAAACCCUUCAACUACAACAGAAUGCCCUUCCCUAAAAAGAUCGGGCAACGACCCGUCAUACUUAACCAAAAUAUCAGUAAUCAAAUCAGUAAUCACAAAUUCCAUUUCAGGUGAAUUAGGGAUUGGUGUUACACUGUUUUCUAAUACUAAUCCGCCGAGUCGGAAUUUUGAUUUUGUAGGGUUUUGUGAGUGUUGUGAUAGUGCGUCUGUAGGUGUUACGUAAAAUACAAGCUGGUCUUGGAAUUGGUUAAGGACUAUUACUAUGAAUCCAGCUAUGCAACUGAAUGUGAUAGCGUAAGUCCAGAGGCGCCGGGUUUGGAGUUGUCGGGCUCGGGCUCCGAUAUCGGGUCGGGCUGAUCUGUGGGAUUUAGCGGGCCGGGAGAGUGUGGAGAAGGAUCGGAGGGUGAAAAGGGGUUGGUUAGGGUUGAAACGGGAAAAAUUUAAGGGCUGUGAUUGGCGGUGGAGGAGUGAAAUUAAAGGGUGGGAUUUGGGGAGAGUGGUGGUGGUCGUGGCGGCGGCGCCGGUAGUGACGGCGGAACGGAGGAGACGGGAAGCUAGACGAGAAGCUAAACGAGAAGUGAGAUUUGAAGCCAUUGAAAUUUAUUUAUUUAUUGUGGAAUUUCUCAAAAGGAGAGGAAAUUGGGGUUAUAGGGUUUAAAGGAAUUUGUAAAGUUGUUAGCUUUAGAAGAAUGUAGAAGGUGGCGAAAAGGAGAAUUUAGAAGAAGAGCGUGCGGUCAAAGAGGUUGCAAUUCACCCCUAUUUUCUUUUUCCUUAAAUUUCUAUCGCUACCUAUU
rnacentral:lncRNA from 1 species